AGACGGUCAGAGGCGGCUACCAACAGAAGCAAGGAGGUUACAACAGAGAUGGAGGCGGUUACCAACAGAGGCCAGGCGGUUACAACCGAGACGGAGGCGGUUACCAACAGAGGCAAGGCAGUUACAACCGAGAUGGAAACCGAGGCGGUGGUGGCUACCAGGGG